CGGCAAUUACAUUCUGCAUAGCAGGCGGUAUCGUGAGUGACCCAGUUCAAGAACAAAAUGGAACAGCCUCACUGUGUAUCCUCGGCGUGUGGUGGAUGAUGAAAUCCGACCCCGGGGUCUUUUGUGAUGAUGGUAUUGGAGUAAAUCUGGCGGAAUGAAAAACAAACUGGAUGGAAAUGCACGAUGUGGAAUACAGCAGGUUUGGGGCUGCGGUCUCCUUCCAUCAUCGG